rnacentral:rRNA from 1 species
CCUACGGGUGGCAGCAGUGAGGAAUAUUGGUCCAUGGGCGCGAGCCUGAACCAGCCAAGUAGCGUGAAGGAUGACUGCCCUACGGGUUGUAAACUUCUUUUAUAAAGGAAUAAAGUGAGGCACGUGUGCCUUUUUGUAUGUACUUUAUGAAUAAGGAUCGGCUAACUCCGUGCCAGCAGCCGCGGUAAUACGGAGGAUCCGAGCGUUAUCCGGAUUUAUUGGGUUUAAAGGGAGCGUAGAUGGGGUGUUAAGUCAGUUGUGAAAGUUUGCGGCUCAAACGUAAAAUUGCAAUUGAUAAGUGGAGUGUUGAGUAAAGGUGGGGGAGGCGGAAGUCGUGGG